GGCUCAGGACGAACGCUGGCGGCGUGCCUAACACAUGCAAGUCGAACGGAGUUGAGGAGCUUGCUCCUUAACUUAGUGGCGGACGGGUGAGUAACGCGUGAGUAACCUGCCUCUGAGAGGGGAAUAACGUUCUGAAAAGAACGCUAAUACCGCAUGACACAUAUUUGCCGCAUGACAGAUAUGUCAAAGAUUUUUAUCGCUCAGAGAUGGACUCGCGUCCGAUUAGUUAGUUGGUGAGGUAACGGCUCACCAAGACCGCGAUCGGUAGCCGGACUGAGAGGUUGAACGGCCACAUUGGGACUGAGACACGGCCCAGACUCCUACGGGAGGCAGCAGUGGGGGAUAUUGCGCAAUGGGGGCAACCCUGAACCGCAGCAACGCCGCGUGAAGGAUGAAGGUUUUCGGAUUGUAAACUUCUUUUCUCAGGGACGAAAUCUGACGGUACCUGAGGAAUAAGCUCCGGCUAACUACGUGCCAGCCGCUGC
rnacentral:rRNA from 1 species